GGGCCGAUAGCUCAGCUGGUAGAGCAACGCCCUUUUAAGGCGUGGGUCACAGGUUCGAACCCUGUUCGGCUCA
rnacentral:tRNA from 1 species